rnacentral:rRNA from 1 species
UACGAAGGGGCUAGCGUUGCUCGGAAUCACUGGGCGUAAAGGGUGCGUAGGCGGACCUGCAAGUCGGGGGUGAAAUCCCGGGGCUCAACCCUGGAAUGGCCUUCGAGACUGCCGGUCUUGAGUUCGAGAGAGGUGGGUGGAAUUCCGAGUGUAGAGGUGAAAUUCGUAGAUAUUCGGAGGAACACCAGUGGCGAAGGGCGGCUCACUGGUCCGGUACUGACGCUGAGGUGCGAAAGCGUGGGGAGCAAACAGG